UUUUCCACAUUAGAUCCAUUUACCUCAAUUAUACUAUUGAUUUUGCUUUUAUCAUCUUCCAUUUUGACUUCCAGUAACUGCUGCAUGUUUGAAAAUAUUACUUCCUCUCUGCAUUUUUCCUCCUUUUUGCCAUUAUUAUAUAGCCUUUGAUGGCAUAGACGUCUCCUUGUUGCAUGAACUCGAUUUCCCUUGACAAAAUUGUACUAUAAUGUUAGAAGUGAAGACUGCAAAAUUGAACUUAGUAAUAUUGUAAAAAGAAAAGUAUGUACAAAUACAAUAAUCACCUCUGUCUCUUUCGUGUGAAAUAGCUUUGCUUCUAUUGCUAAACUUGAGGAAUAUCAUAGCUUUGAAUAUGUAUCAUCUGCAAUGCAGUCUUGUUUCUAUCAGGCUCCAAAACAUUUAUCAAAUCGAACAAUGGUGUCAUUUUGGAUAAAUGGAGAUGAUGUGCUGAUUCGAGCAAAAACCAAACAAUGAUGCCGUUUUCGAUUUAUGGAGAUAUGUAUGUGCUAAAUCUCUAGGAAAGAGCAAAACUA
rnacentral:lncRNA from 1 species